rnacentral:lncRNA from 1 species
AUUAUGAAUACUACUGCUAUAAACAUUCCUGUGCAAGUUUUUGUGUGAAUUUCUGUUUUUCAUUUAUCUUGUGUCUACACCUAGGAUUGGAAAUACUAGGUCAUAUGGGACCUCUGUGUUUGACCAUUUGAGAAGUUGUUGGACUAUUUUCGAAAGUGGCAACACCAUUUCUGAUUCCCAUCAGCAAUGUGUGAGUUUCUAAUUUCUCCACAUCCUCACCAGCACUGGUUAUUAUGACCUCCUUAUUACAGCCAUCUUACUGGGUGUGAAGUGGUAGCUCAUUGUAGUUUCGACUUGCAUUUACCUACUGACUAAUGAUGUUGAGCAUCUUUUCACAUGGAUAUUAGGGAUUUGUAUAACUUCUUUGAGAAGACGUCUAUUCAGGUCAUUUUCCUAUUUUUAAAUUGAGUGAUUUGUCUUUAUAUUAUUGAUUUGCAAGAGUUCUUCUCAUAUUCUAGAUACAAGUCCCUUAUCAGAUAAGUGAUUUGCAAAUCGUUUCUCUCAUUCUUUGGGUUGUCUUUUCACUUUCUUAAUAGUGUCUUUCGAAACAUAGAAGUUUUUAGUUGUGGUGAAGUCCGAUGUAUUUAUUUUUCUUGUGCAGCUGAUGCUUUUGGUAUCACAUCUAAGAUUUGUGUCACAUCCAUUGUCAAACCUGAGGUCAGGAAGAGCCCCCUGUUUUCUUCUAAGAGUUUUUACAGUUUUAACUCUUACAGUUAGGCCCUUGAUCUGUUUUAAGUUAAUUUUUUAUGUGGUGUGAGGUACAAAUAUAAUUUUGUUCUUUUGCUUGUGGCCCUCCAGUUGUCCAGCACCAUCUGUUGAAGAGACUAUUCUUUUCCUUGAAAGACCUUGGCAGUUUUGUCAAAACUCAGUUGACCAUAGAUACAUAAUUAUACUUCUGGAGUCUCAAUUUUAUUUCAUUGAUUUGUCUAUCCUAUGCCAGUACCACAAUGUCUCAAUUGCUGUUGCUUUGUAGUCAGUUUUGAAUCAAAAUAUGGGAAUCUUUUAACUUUGUUCUUUUUCAAGAGUGUUUUUUGGUUAUUCCAUGUCUGGUGCCAUAUAAUACGAAUUUUAGGAUGAGCUUAUUCGUUUCUAUAAAGAAGCCAGCUGUGAUUAUAAUAGGGAUUGCGCUGAAUCUGUAGAUCAAUUUUGGUUGUUAUCUUAACAAUAUUGUCUUUGAAUCCAUGAACAUGGGAUUUUUUUGUUGAUGUAGAUCUUUAUUUUAACAAUAAAACCAUAGGGCUCUUUGAAGGUGUUUCAGAACAGCUAUCUUUUGAGGUUGCCUACUCUUACCAACUCCUCUGUGAGAGCUGCCACAAAGUUCUGGGUCUCCAUCAUGUCCAAGGCAUUGAUGCAGCCCUAGGUGAAUAAGCCUAGGGAGUCAGCUGGAGGGGAACUGGGCUGGGUUUUGUCCUUCCCUUUAAAGGUCCUCCCUCCUGCAAGCCUGCCAAGGCAACUGGGUGCUCAUAGCUCCAGCUCAUUGCUAGAUCUUGGGUGUUCCCUUAACCUUGGUUUAAGAUCAGCUGUUCACUUUGUCUCUACACACUAUUCCUUUCCUCUUCAGAGCUGGGGAAUCAUCAUAUCUUAGGGUGCCCAAUCGUCUGAGUUUGUCCUUUCACGUGUGUGAGAAGGGCAUAAUCCAGUCUUUAUCAUGUGUGUUUCUACUACCCUCAGCACCACUUAUUGGAAAGGCCACUCUCUGCCACUGCAUUUCAGUGCCACCUUUGUCGUCAAUCAGGUGACCAUGAAUAGGAGGUCUGUUUCUGGUCUGUGCCAUUAGGUUAUUUGUCUGUUCUUGUUCUAAUACCAAAGUGUCUUAGUUAUUACAGCCUCAUAAGAUGUCUUGGUUUGGGUGGUUCAAAUCCUCCAGCCUCUGUCUCUGUCAGAAUUGCCUUGGCUCUGGAUCAUUUACAGUUCCAAGUAAAUUUUAGGAUCAGCUUAUCAAUUUUAAGAAAAGCACCUAGUGGAAUUUGAGAUUGUACUAAAUCUAUAGGUCAGUUUAGGGAGGAAGAGUUGACAUCAUCCCAACAGGUAAUUUUCCAAUCCAUGAAUAUGGAAUAUUCCUUCAUUUAUUAAGAUUUUAAAAUUUUCUCUCAGUACAGUUUUGUGGUUUCCUGUGCAGACAUCUUGCAUAACUUUGGUAGCUUUCUAAGUAUUUGCUGUUUUUAAUGCUAUUGUAAAUGGCAUUGAAAAUUUUUAAAUGGCAUUUUUAAAAUUCCUGUUAUAAAAAUACUGUUAUUGUCAUAGAAAUACAGUUGUAUAUUGACCUUGUAUGCAUUAAUCUUGCUAAAUGUAUUUAUUAAACCUCAUACCUUGUAAGUUAUUUUUGGUUCUCUUAUAAUGCUAAUUUUAAUAUAUUUUUUUCCCCUAAUUUGCUUGGUCAGUAACUGUUUGGUUGCAGGCAGCAGAAACUUCCUCCAGGAAGUUCAGAUAAAAGUGAAGAUAGUAUCAGGCCCCAGAGGCAUGCUGGGAAAGCCAGAGCAAGGAAUUCAGUGGGGCUUCAUGGGAACUCCUCCCUUGGGAUCUCUCCCCUUUGGACCAUGAAAUCCAGAUCUCCACACCUCUGUGCACCUCUACUCUUUCCUGCCCACUUGCCAGUCUGGUGUCUGCUGUCUUAGCACUAUGUAAGCCCCAGCUCAGAUUCCGUAGCCAUGCACCAACGCCCAUCCCAUCAGGCCUCAGUGUUCUAGGCCAAUCUGAUGGCUCUGAGUUAGUUGUCCCGGCUACCUUGUUCACUGUAGUAGGAGGGCAGGGUGGUGAGACAGUGAUACAGUGAGCAGUGUUCUCCAACACAUAAUCCUGCCUAUUCACAAGAAAACUUGGAAAAUAUUAAUGUAAUGUGUAAGUUUUCACCUCCCAGAUAUACCUACUGUUAAUUUUGCUGUAACUCUGACUAGUAUUUUUUCUAAAUAUAUGUAUAUUUUUAUAUAUUAUUUAUUUUCCCUCUACAUAGAAAUUUACAAAUUGAAAUUACGUUCUACAUAAACAGUAUUAUAUAUAUAUAUGCUUGUUUUACCUAAUUUUAUGUCAUUUGAGGUUGACGAUUUUAUUAGAUAUACUUCAAAAACAAUCUUUAUGGUUUAAUAGAAUAUAUAAUAUUCCAUUACAAUGGCUAUAUCAUAAUUUAAUGACCAAUUCCUAUUUUGAGCCAUUUGGGUUCUUUCCAGUUUUUUGAUAAAUAUUGCCAUAGCUAACAAUUUUGGACUUAAAAGUCUUGUCUAAUAUCUGAUUAUUUCUUUCAGAUUGAUUCCUUGGAGUGGAAUUAGUAAAAAGGAUAUGAAUAUUUUUAGUCUCUUGAUAUGUUAGACUGAUUUCCAGAAGGCUUGUACCAAUUUACUCUUCUACCGACAACUUUUCACCACCUGGAAGUGGGGAGUCAGCUCCAGCACAGAGCUUUGCGGGAGGACAAAAGAGACGAUGUGGAUAAAGUGCUCCGCAGAUCAUCAGGGGCGGCAAAGAACAAGUAAUUAAGAUGACAUUUGUGAGUACUAAUUUGGAUCACACUUAUGUGUAUGUGUUAUAAAGCUGCAAGCCAAAACAUGCAAACCCAGCCUUUCAUGGAGGAGAAAAUGAAAAAAUACCGAGUGAAAUGGGAGCAUGGGAAACUCGGAGGAGCUGAACAUCGGCGUGUAAAUUAGAACCUCAGUGUUGAUAGCAGAUCUCAUUAUAGUCGGUGCAUUUGGCUACCGACCUGCAGCCAGCAGUGCCCGGGGCUAGUGCAUGGGGUCUGCUGUGCCACUGUGGUGGCAGUGGCAUCCGUGAUGCCCCUCUUGCAGAACGUAGGCAGCGCAGGCAUCUGGGUGCCCUGGUAUCUGCACACCCAUCCAGAGCCUUUGCUGCUGUGUCACUCUUCUAAGCCUGGUUCUUGCCCAGUGGAACCCAACCAUGGAACCAAAAGAAGCAUGUGUCUGGGGUCACCGGAGCCGUUGUUCUCUACCUGCCCAGUGCGCUAUUCAGAAGCAGAGGGGCUGGGGCAGAAGGUCUGGAGGGAGUGGGUUAUGAAGCCCCUCAGUGAGCCUUGGGAUUGUUUGAGUUCUCAAAGACAAGUGCUGGAACAGUGAUUGUGUCACCCCAGUGCUGCUGUGGCCCACAGAACAUCUGUGACACAGAAACAUCAGCCAGAGUGCAGCAUGAAUACAGAUGGCACCUCUGGGGGUCAGGACCACGUAAGUGACAAUUUGCUGAACCUCUCUUUCUAUGCAGGUUAGAGGACGGAGGCUGGAUAAC